GAGAGUAUAGCUCAGUGGUAAAGCACGUGCUUAGCAUGCACGAGGUCCAGGGUUCAAUCUCUGGUACCGCCA
rnacentral:tRNA from 1 species